CAGAGACCAACAGCACUCCUGAGGCCCUGAAAUAAACCAGACCACGUCUGAUCCCGGACCCAACCAAAACCGAAACCCAAAACGAAAACAAAAGAAAACCAGUCCUCAUCCCACCAACCGGAAGCAAAAGCUCUCUGGACAUCGGGACUUAAUCAUUCCAGGACUGCCAUUUGGAGAAAUACGCUUCGCCACUACUGAUCCUCAAGAUUUUUCUUCUUUGCUUUACGUUCCCACCUCACUGAGCCAGCCUCCAAUCCUAGAGGAGGAGAAGAGAUGAAGUGCUAAAAAUAGUAAUUCUCACAUCUGAGAGUAAUUGUCAUGUAGCAUCUUGCCCCUCGGAGUGUGGUCUGGGAACCAGGGGCACUGACAUCACCUGGGAGCAAACCUGCACGCGCAAUCCCAUUCCAGGUGUACUGAAUUGGAACCUACAGUUUGGCAACAUGCCCGGGGACUCACAGGCACAUUAAAUUCUGGAUGAAGAUGGAGGGCGCUUGGUAGUAGGCAGUAACCUCAGUAAUUCUGAUUUGGCGUGUCUGUGAUGAGGCCCAGGGAUGCACAUUUUAAAAUAUCACCUCCAGAAGAUUCUGAUGCAGCUAGUGUGUGGAUCCCUAUCAAGAAACAUUGAU